CACGUAGGGUGCGAGCGUUGUCCGGAAUUACUGGGCGUAAAGGGCUCGUAGGUGGCCAACUAAGUCAGACGUGAAAUCCCUCGGCUUAACCGGGGAACUGCGUCUGAUACUGGAUGGCUUGAGUUUGGGAGAGGGACGCGGAAUUCCAGGUGUAGCGGUGAAAUGCGUAGAUAUCUGGAGGAACACCGGUGGCGAAGGCGGCGUCCUGGACCAAUACUGACACUGAUGAGCGAAAGCCAGGGGAGCAAACGGG
rnacentral:rRNA from 1 species